AUUGAACGCUGGCGGCAGGCUUAACACAUGCAAGUCGAGCGGAGAUGAGGUGCUUGCACCUUAUCUUAGCGGCGGACGGGUGAGUAAUGCUUAGGAAUCUGCCUAUUAGUGGGGGACAACAUUCCGAAAGGAAUGCUAAUACCGCAUACGUCCCACGGGAGAAAGCAGGGGAUCUUCGGACCUUGCGCUAAUAGAUGAGCAUAAGUCGGAUUAGCUAGUUGGUGGGGUAAAGGCCUACCAAGGCGACGAUCUGUAGCGGGUCUGAGAGGAUGAUCCGCCACACUGGGACUGAGACACGGCCCAGACUCCUACGGGAGGCAGCAGUGGGGAAUAUUGGACAAUGGGGGGAACCCUGAUCCAGCCAUGCCGCGUGUGUGAAGAAGGCCUUAUGGUUGUAAAGCACUUUAAGCGAGGAGGAGGCUACUGAGACUAAUACUCUUGGAUAGUGGACGUUACUCGCAGAAUAAGCACCGGCUAACUCUGUGCCAGCCGCCGCUGUAA
rnacentral:rRNA from 1 species